UACGUAGGGUGCGAGCGUUAAUCGGAAUUACUGGGCGUAAAGCGUGCGCAGGCGGUUUUGUAAGCCAGAUGUGAAAUCCCCGGGCUCAACCUGGGAAUGGCAUUUGGGACUGCAAGGCUCGAGUUUGGCAGAGGAGACUGGAAUUCCUGGUGUAGCAGUGAAAUGCGUAGAUAUCAGGAGGAAUACCGAUGGCGAAGGCAGGUCUCUGGGCUGAUAC
rnacentral:rRNA from 1 species